rnacentral:rRNA from 1 species
AUUGAACGCUGGCGGCAGGCCUAACACAUGCAAGUCGAGCGGAAACGAUCCUAGCUUGCUAGGAGGCGUCGAGCGGCGGACGGGUGAGUAACGCGUGAGAAUCUACCCAUGAGUGGGGGACAACCCGGGGGAACUCGGGCUAAUACCGCAUACGCCCUACGGGGUAAAGCAGGGGACCUUCGGGCCUUGCGCUGAUGGAUGAGCUCGCGUCGGAUUAGCUUGUUGGUGAGGUAAAGGCUCACCAAGGCGACGAUCCGUAGCUGGUCUGAGAGGAUGAUCAGCCACACCGGGACUGAGACACGGCCCGGACUCCUACGGGAGGCAGCAGUGGGGAAUCUUGGACAAUGGGGGCAACCCUGAUCCAGCCAUGCCGCGUGUGUGAAGAAGGCCUUCGGGUUGUAAAGCACUUUCAGCAGGGAGGAAGGCUUACCCCUAAUACGGGUGAGUACUUGACGUUACCUGCAGAAGAAGCACCGGCUAAUUUCGUG